rnacentral:rRNA from 1 species
UCUGGAGUUUGGCAGAGGGGGGUAGAAUUCCACGUGUAGCAGUGAAAUGCGUAGAGAUGUGGAGGAAUACCGAUGGCGAAGGCAGCCCCCUGGGUCACUACUGACGCUCAUGCACGAAAGCGUGGGGAGCAAACAGGAUUAGAUACCCUGGUAGUCCACGCCCUAAACGAUGUCAACUAGAUGUUGGGAGGGUUAAACCUUUUAGUGCCGUAGCUAAC